GCCAAUAAGAAGCCAAGAAUCCCCGCCCGUCUCGGAUUGCGACCAAUCGACGCCCAGGACUUUAGCUAGCGAGCCGGCGACUCCGUUGUCCGAGAAAGGAGGCAAACCCCCUUGGAGUUGCCAGUAACGGACAUGGCUGCGGCCCCUGGAGGAGGGGACGCGAAGUGAGGAGGGGGCAGGGAGGGGAGAGGACGCGGGCGAGGAAGACUGGUCCCCGGGCCCCGGUGCUCACACUUGCCCUCGGCCCUGGCUUGGCCCUCUGGGGGUCCCGCGUCAGAAAUCGAAGCCUCCCGCCAACAAAGACUCCCUGCCCCAGGAUUGCGGUGCCUGGGCCCCAGCCCAGAAGGCUUCCAGCGCUGGUGGAUGGAGCCGGAGGGGCUUUUCAACCCUGAGCAGCGACGUUGCAGUUUGGAGUAUGCCCUGCCUGCCCCCACCCCCACCAGCCCCCGCCCCUUUCCGCCUUUCCAGAAAGUUGUUUAAAGACUCCUUAGAAGCAACCAGAGGAACAUUACUUCCUACCCUAUAAACUGAUCUCUCUGCUGUGCUCUCGUUCCUCUGCUGCUCACCGCUGAAGUCAGUUCUUAAAGUCCCUCGUGUGCUGCUGUGUGAGCCCCUGCCCGGUGCCAGUUACAAGGGAAACCCUGCUCUUUCAUUGGUGUGUGACCACGGGCUGCACUUUGGCGUGUUCAUUGAUUUGGUCACGUGCUGCUACAUCCCACCCUCUUUUUUUGUGUGUGUGGCUCUUGGGGAGAAAAAGGAGGGAGCUCUGUAUCCAAUCCCUUUUCCUUCUUGUGUGUGAUUUUGUGUACUGGGGACGAUGAUAGUUUUCUCAUGCUUCAUCCAAGACCCUCACCUCAGCUGUAGUGACACAGUUCAGUUAAGCCUGGGUACUCUUAGAAGAUGGAAGUCAGGAGGGAAUUUUAACGUUUUAUUUUACAGAUGUGGAGACUAACUGUUGGGAGAGGCAAAGGGCCAGGGCCAGGGUCAUCAAGGUCCCAGGGCUGGAACUCUGAAGUCCAGAUUCUUGAGUCCUUUAUCCACUAGAGCCGGUUGUUUCCUAGGUGUGAUCUGAGAAAACCAAGUUCCCUAACUUCUCUCAGCCUUUGCAGGGCGGUUGUGAGCAUUAAAUGAGGUGGUCUAUAUAUAAGGAUCCUUUGGAUGGAGUCUAGGACUUACUAGGUUCUCAAUAUAUUUUUGCAUUUAUUAAUUUUAAGUAACCGGCAGGUAGUUCACUGGCUGAUUUCUUGUAUUAAUAUUUAUUGUGGUCUCUAUUUGUGGGUGUAAAUUAGUGGUUCUCAGGAAAGGCAGGGAGGGGCAGAGUCAGGACAAGGUAGCCCUUCCUCUGUUUGGGGGAACCACUGUAGUGUCAUUAGAGGUGUUAUGAAUGAGAGUGUGAUUGUGUUUAAGAAUAGUGCAGAGGCAGAAAAAGGUUAAGAAGCACUGAAGAAAGAAGAAAUACCAUGGUGGUAUGUCUUUAUGGUGAUCUUGGUAAAAGAAGAGCUGAUCUUAGUAAUCCAACGAGGUAGUUUUAAUUUUUUUUUAA